rnacentral:antisense_RNA from 1 species
ACCACGUGGAGGAAAAGCACGCGAGUUUGGAGGGGGUGGAGCAGGAACAGAGGUGGACUGGAAUGUCACACGACGGGGCAGCUGGAAGUGCACAGAAACACUCUCCACACCAAGCUGCUGCUGCUGGGGGAUGGAGGGAUGGCGUCAGCGAUUCAAGACUGUUUUUCCUACCUGUUCAGCGCUUCUUUCAGCGAUAUGAAGUUAAAUCCAGUCCUCACUGUCCCCAGAAGGAAGAGAGGCACACAGAGCUCCCCAGUCACUGGAAUCCAGGAAGAAUUAAGGUGCUCAAGACCCACCACCUCUUUGCCUGCGAACUCUAAGCUCUCUGUCCUGCUCCCUUGCUCCCAGAAGUGGCACUGGAUGGAUCCCAUCCAGGUCAGCCCAGGCUGUUAUUUCCUCCCCUUCUGUACCUAAUCCCAGUGAGAUGAAGAGUUUACACGUGUUUCUCACUUGAAUCAGGGAAGUCUAGUUUGCAUUCUCCUGACUGGAUGGGCCUGGGGAAGGCAGAGACUGCAUUGAAUCUUUCAUCUCAUUGGUCUGGGGAUUUGGUUCCGAAGAUCAAUACCUUCCAGAAUCUUCCUGUCUCUCCCCAAAUUCUGGACAGUUCUGUUUCCAGCACUCAUCCAUGAUAGGGGGGUACAGGAAAUGAGUGUCGAGGGAAAGGCAUCCCACCUUCUCUCUGUUCCACCUUCCAGAUCUGACAACUCACUGGAAAGUUCUUCUCUGUGUCCCUGUCCCCCGUCUGGUUCUGAGGCCGCCACUUUCCCCAGCCUUGGUGCCUUGGGUUUUUCUGCUCUGUGAAAUGAACAAGGUCCAUUAUCCUGUUCUCCCCUGAAGAAAAGAGGGUGUGGGGGGCUUGGCACAGGAAAUGGCCCUUGCCUUUCACAGGCUUUGGGGUCUGAGGGCAGCUCU